rnacentral:ncRNA from 2 species
GUCACCUCAUGGCACGACGGUUCCCGAAGGUCGCAAGGCCCGAGGGAUGAAAAGGGAACGCGGUGAGGGGAAACCCGAGGCCGCGACUGCCCCCGCAACUGUGAGCGGCAAGCCGCCCCGACGGACACCACUGGCCGAUGGCUGGGAAGGUUCGGGGAUCGGCCACGACCCGCGAGUCAGGAGACCUGCCGUCGGGCGCAUCCGCGC